GACGAACGCUGGCGGCGUGCUUAACACAUGCAAGUCGAACGAGUGGCGAACGGGUGAGUAAUACGUAGGUAACCUGCCCUCUUUUUGGGUUAAGCUUUGGAAACGGGUGCUAAUACCGAAUAAAGGGGGAUGGGCUCUCGGCCUAUCAGCUUGUUGGUGGGGUGAUGGCCUACCAAGGCGGUGCCGGGUAGCGGGCCUGAGAAGUUGACCGGCGACAUAGGGACGGCGAAGCGUCCCAGGCGAGUAAGGAGGGGGGAAUUGGGGGCUAUUGGACAAUGGGCGAAAGACUGAUGCAGCGAGGCCGCGUGAGGGAUGCAGGCUGUCGAGUUGUAUACCUCUAUCGCAAUCGAGCGGGUAGGUGGAGAAGAAGCGCCGGCUAACUACGUGCCAGCAGCCGCGGUAAUAC
rnacentral:rRNA from 1 species